rnacentral:rRNA from 1 species
UUCCGUAGGUGAACCUGCGGAAGGAUCAUUACCUAGAGUUUGUGGGCUUUGCCCGCUACCUCUUACCCAUGUCUUUUGAGUACUUACGUUUCCUCGGCGGGUCCGCCCGCCGAUUGGACAAAAUCAAACCCUUUGCAGUUGCAAUCAGCGUCUGAAAAACAUAAUAGUUACAACUUUCAACAACGGAUCUCUUGGUUCUGGCAUCGAUGAAGAACGCAGCGAAAUGCGAUAAGUAGUGUGAAUUGCAGAAUUCAGUGAAUCAUCGAAUCUUUGAACGCACAUUGCGCCCCUUGGUAUUCCAUGGGGCAUGCCUGUUCGAGCGUCAUUUGUACCUUCAAGCUUUGCUUGGUGUUGGGUGUUUGUCUCGCCUCUGCGUGUAGACUCGCCUUAAAACAAUUGGCAGCCGGCGUAUUGAUUUCGGAGCGCAGUACAUCUCGCGCUUUGCACUCAUAACGACGACGUCCAAAAGUACAUUUUUACACUCUUGACCUCGGAUCAGGUAGGGAUACCCGCUGAACUUAAGC